AAACUAGGCAAAUUAACCCCGUAACUUCGGGAGAAGGGGUGCCCAUGCAAAUGGGCCGCAGUGAAUAGCGUCGGGCGACUGUUUAACAAAAACACAGGUCUCUGCUAAGUCGAAAACGAUGUAUAGGGGCUGACGCCUGCCCGUUGCCGGAAGGUUAAAGGGAGUGGUUAGCGCAAGCGAAGCUACGAACUGAAGCCCCGGUGAACGGCGGCCGUAACAAUAACGGUCCUAAGGUAGCAAAAUUCCUUGUCGGGUAAGUUCCGACCUGCACGAAUGGCGUAACGAUCUGACGACUGUCUCAACAACUCGCCCGGCGAAUUUGUGGUUCCGGUGAAGACGCCGGAUGCCCGCCACAAGACGGAAAGACCCCGUGCACCUUUACUAUACCCUAUCAGUGAAUUAUGGGUUGGACUGCGCAGGAUAGGUGGGAGGCUUUGAGAUCGGGUUUUUGGACUCGAUGGAGCCAACGGUGAGAUACCACCCUGUGUAAUCUGUGAUUCUAACCUGCUUCCAUGAUCUGGAAGAGGGACACUGGUAGGCGGGUAGUUUGACUGGGGCGGUCGCCUCCUAAAUUGUAACGGAGGCGCUCGAAGCUGCGUUCAGGUGGUUUGGAAAUCCACCGACGAGUGCAAAGGCAUAAACGCGGUUAACUGCGAGACCUACAAGUCAAGCAGGUGGGAAACCAGGACUUAGUGAUCCGGUGGUUCUGUAUGGAAGGGCCAUCGCUCAACGGAUAAAAGGUACGCCGGGGAUAACAGGCUGAUCGGAGUCAAGAGUUCACAUCGACGCUUCGGUUUGGCACCUGAUGUCGGUUCAUCGCAUCCCGGGGGUGUAGAAGCUCCCAAGGGUUAGGCUGUUCGCCUAUUAAAGCGGUACGUGAACUGGGUUCAGAACGUCGCGAGACAGUUCGGUCCCUAUCUGUGGUGGGCGCAGGAAAUUUGAGGGGGCUUGGCCUUAGUACGAGAGGACCGGGCUGAACGAACCUCUUGUGAUACAGUUGUCACUCCAGUGGCACAGCUGUGUAGCGAAGUUCGGUUAGGAUAAGCGCUGAAUGCAUAUAAGUGCGAAACCUUCCCCAAGAUGAGAUUUCCCAACCGUAAGGUAAUAAGGGCCGUGGAAGACUACCACGUUGAUAGGACGGGUGUGUAAGAGUAGUAGUACUUUGAGCUAACCGUUACUAAUAGCCCGUUCGGCUUGACCU
rnacentral:rRNA from 1 species